rnacentral:lncRNA from 1 species
ACUACCAUCACAACCAGCAAGGAUGGUGAAUCUUCUGAGAGAAGAUAAGAAAGCUUUUAUCUAACAGCUGAUCUGUAGUAGCCAAUUUCAGCAUCUUGAUGACUGAUUAGUGCUUAAUAAGGCAUUACAGUUUUUGUGGACUAUCUCAAGCAACGGUACGUAUUCCCACUUUUGAUAUAAAAAUAUAUGUAUAUAUUUUUUUUUUCUUAAAAACUCAUUUAUUACUCUACCAUUUCUGAUUUUUUCCUAUCUACUCUUACAUUUGAUUCUUCUGCUUUCAUUUUCUGUUCUCCCUCCCUCUCUUCUCAACCACGGUCAAUAUGCAUGUUUGCCCACUCUGAUUUCUCAACUACCUGUGCACCUUCCUGCAGGGUUCACUGUGACUGUGCUCCUCUUCCAUUCUGCCACAUGCAGUUUAUCUUUAAUCUCUUGCUUGACAUCCACUGGAAAGAUGAAAAAAAUCUCUUAUUUAUUUCAAAAGGAUUUUCAAGGCAGAGACAAAAGAUUGUUCCAGCUCAGUGUAAUUCAGUCUGUCCAUCUGCACCAUAGGCACUAGAGUCUGAAGGAAGUCAGUGACAUGGUAUGAGGGUUUGAGAUAGCUGAGAGUAGGGGCAGUCUCCAUUUUCACUCAUUUAGGAACAGAGUUUGAAGAUUAACUUCUCAGAAGCAACUGAAAACAGGUCUUUCUAUGUAGUAAGUACUGAUAAAUGCUUAGUUCCCAUUGGUGAGAUCCAAGAUCAGAUCACCUCUGAGAACUCAGCUCAUUCAGUCCUAGCAAGCUGGGCACACAGGCAGUAGCAAAAAGCAGAAAAGGGACUGAUGCUUUAGGAAAAUAGCAACUGCCAAGCUGGUCAGUAUGGCUUUCCCGAAAAGAUGGAAACUUCUUUGUUAUUUUUUCACAUAAAAACAUAUUUGGCUACAAAUGUCUAAUAUCCCAUCCUAGUACUACUAAAGCAACACAAGUGAUGAUUCCAUAACAAGCUGUUAGUUAAGAGAAACAACUUGAACGUUACAAAUACGUUUUUAGAAAAGAAUCUGCAAUUUGACACACAAAGUAAAAUGCUUUUGUCUGCCUUUUUAAAGGGAGCAAAAAUAAACAACAUCUGAGGUAGUGAUUCUUUAAAAAC